CCCCUUCGGGGGUAAGUAGAGUGGCGUCCGGGUGAGUAACACGUAGGUAAUCUACCUUCGGGUGGGGAAUAACCCGCCGAAAGGCGGGCUAAUACCGCAUAAUGCAGCGGCACCUAAUGGUGAUUAGUUGUUAAAGCGGGGGACCGCAAGGCCUCGCGCCUGAAGAGGAGCCUGCGGCAGAUUAGCUAGUUGGUGAGGUAAUGGCUCACCAAGGCUUCGAUCUGUAGCUGGUCUGAGAGGACGGCCAGCCACACUGGCACUGACACACGGGCCAGACUCCUACGGGAGGCAGCAGUGGGGAAUUUUGGGCAAUGGGCGAAAGCCUGACCCAGCAACGCCGCGUGAGGGAGGAAAUCCUUCGGGAUGUAAACCUCACAAGCAAGGGAAGAGAGCCGCGGGGCGAAUAACCCCGCGGUCCGACGGUACCUUGCGUAAGCCACGGCUAACUACGUGCCAGCAGCCGCGGUAAUACGUAGGUGGCAAGCGUUGUUCGGAAUUAUUGGGCGUAAAGGGCGCGUAGGCGGUCGGUUAAGUCAGUUGUGAAAGCCCGGGGCUCAACCCCGGAGGGUCGACUGAUACUGAUUGACUAGAGUACGGAAGAGGUAGCUGGAAUUCCCGGUGUAGCGGUGAAGUGCGUAGAUAUCGGGAGGAACACCUGAGGCGAAGGCGGGCUACUGGGCCGAUACUGACGCUGAG
rnacentral:rRNA from 1 species